CCCAGGCCAGGCUGGAAUUUGCAGUGCAGUGCUCCUGACUCAGUCUCCUGGAAGGCUGGAACCGUGCAGUAUUUCUGUCUGCUAAAUCUGACAGCCCAGUUUGCCCGGCAGCAUCUAGUCUGGAGGAAACCCUGCUCCACCUGUGACAGCCAGUAGUCCCUGUGAACGUGGGACACAGUCUGGGGGCGCAAGAGGGCGUGUGUACCCUAGUGUCACCCAAUGGAACUGGCCAGCCUCCCUGAGGGCGAGUGGCACAGCCCCAGCAGGUCCACAAAUCUUUGGUGGACAUCUGCUCUCCCCUGUGCUCUGGGGUGUACCAGGCACUCAGGGUACAGAGAUGAAGGCCUCAGCCUUUCCUGGAGGAACUGAGUCUGGGAGAGAAGACAGCCUGUACACGGAUGUGAUUUGCAUCAACGCAGAGCAGCAGCUCGUGGAGGCAGCACAUGGGACACAGGGGCGGGGCUGCAAGGUUGAAGGGACCUGUAGGACUGGAACAAUCUAGAACGUUCCAGAAACAGGAUGCCCUCCCCAGCCCCACCGGGCUCUCAGUCCCACCCUGUGACUGGGCCCUGAGUGCCCCACGGGCACCCACAUCCUCCUGUUUGCCUUUUUCAUCUGGAAAAGGCCUUCAAGGGCCUUCUCUGAGAAGCCAUCCUCAGUUUCCCUCGUGGCUCUGGGAGAGUCUGGGGCCUGCAGGUGUUGAGGGGUGGAGAGUAGCAGGGGCUAGGAAGGCAGAGGUGGUGGGGAGGCUGGGGCUUACUCGCUGGCAGCAGGGACACAGAGAACAGGAGAAGACGAGCAGCCCGCAGGGGAGGGGAGCCUGGAAGUGUGUGGGGUAUGGGCCUCUGAACUGGGGAGAAGGUGAAGUGCUCCAGGUCCAAGGUGCCACCCUCAGCCAGUGCCACCCCUGUGCCCGAGGGGCUCACCUUGGACCAGCGCCCUCAUCCUCCUGUGAGCGUAGCACCCCAGCAUCCAUCACCUUCCAAGAACCCCACCCUGAACACACGAGUCCCUGGGGUGACAUUGUAGAUGUCGCCGUACCAGUGGCCUUGGGAGCACAGAAUGUUGCCAUUCUUGCCUCUGUCCUGUCAUUCUUGCCCUUCAGGGAAAUCUGAAUUCCCUCCUCUCUUUCCAGCAAGUGCGGCCCCAUCCCGUCCUACCUGGAUGGCCACCGAGUCUUCACCGAAGUCCUCUGGGGCCAGUCUGUGCCACCGCAGCCUGAGUGAUCACAGGAUGCCCGCCGCAGUGCGACAUGUUCUAUUGUAAAAAAUCAGAUACUCUCAUAGCAAAACUUCAGAUGGUAGUGAGAGUAGUGGGGGAAGCCAAGGAUCGGCCUUUCCUUGUCCCAGGCUGCAAGCCUGCCCCCCAGAGGAGCCUGCGUGUGGCAGCCAUCACGUGCAGAUGUGUAACUGCGUGUGCGCCCCCACGGCAGCCCAGCCUCUGCACCUGCACUCUCCACCUGCACGCGCACAGGUCCCUCAGUAAGUUCACAACUUUCCCUCGGAGAAGUAUUAUAUAUCCCGCGAUAAGCGAAUAUCCACACAGCGGUCCUUUGUCUACCCUUGUGAAUGGACUCUUCUCUUCCCGAGUGUCUUCUGACUGGCUGUGUGUUCCUGGGGAACCUUUCCAAACAGCCUGCCCUCGCUGGAAGCGCCUGGACAGCGGAGGCCCCCACUGCCGGGCCGCUCCCCUCCACGCCUGGAUUCCGGGUGUCCCCGGCUCACCGAUACCACCCUUGCUUCUCACCUCCUGGGGCAGUGGGUGCCGGGGCGAAGUGGAUUUUUGUGACUAUGAGCGUCACCCCCGACGGUGUCCCAGGCCACCCGGCCCCUGCCGAGCGGAUUCUAGGGGUUGGACUCGGAACUUGUGGUUUGGGGCCGUGGGGACCCUGAGAACCUGCUCGGCCCAUGUCCACACCCUCUCACAGGGAGAUCGGAAGCUCCAUCAGCCCCUCCGGGCGGCCACCUCUGGGACUGCAGACUAGGAAAAGCCGGGGACUUGGCCCCGAUGUCAUAGUAACAGUUUUCCAGGGAGUAUGCGGUCACACAGGCUAUGGCAUGGAGGGAGAUUUGUGGGUCCAAGAGCAGAGAACGUCACAGGCAGAGGUGGGUGCACAACUCGGUGACUUUGCUCUGUUCCCAGCCGGAUGUGGUAAGGGCUCUGUAAAUACUUCUUGGAGUGAACUGGGUAUGUACCAGAUUGGGAGCUCCAUUGGCAUCCGGAUGAUGGUGGUGAUGAUAACAAGUUAUUAUUAUCUGCAUUA